rnacentral:rRNA from 1 species
CAGUCGAACGCGAAAGUCCCGCAAGGGAUAAGUAGAGUGGCAAACGGGUGAGUAACACGUGGGUGACCUGCCUUCGAGCGGGGGAUAACGUCCCGAAAGGGACGCUAAUACCGCAUGACAUCCUGCCUUUGAAGAGGCGGAGAUCAAAGCCGGGGAUUCGCAAGAACCUGGCACUCGAUGAGGGGCCCGCGUCUGAUUAGCUAGUUGGUGGGGUAAUGGCUCACCAAGGCAACGAUCAGUAUCCGGCCUGAGAGGGCGGACGGACACACUGGGACUGAGACACGGCCCAGACUCCUACGGGAGGCAGCAGUGGGGAAUUGUUCGCAAUGGGCGCAAGCCUGACGACGCAACGCCGCGUGGAGGACGAAGACCUUCGGGUCGUAAACUCCUUUCGAUCGAGACGAAUGGCCUUCGGGUGAAUAAUCCGGAGGAGUGACGGUACCGAGAGAAGAAGCCCCGGCUAACUCCGUGCCAGCAGCCGCGGUAAUACGGGGGGGGCAAGCGUUGUUCGGAAUUACUGGGCGUAAAGGGCUCGUAGGUGGCCAACUAAGUCAGACGUGAAAUCCCUCGGCUUAACCGGGGAACUGCGUCUGAUACUGGAUGGCUUGAGUUUGGGAGAGGGAUGCGGAAUUCCAGGUGUAGCGGUGAAAUGCGUAGAUAUCUGGAGGAACACCGGUGGCGAAGGCGGCAUCCUGGACCAACACUGACACUGAGGAGCGAAAGCCAGGGAGCAAACGGGAUUAGAUACCCCGGUAGUCCUGGCCCUAAACGAUGAAUGCUUGGUGUGACGGGUA